AGGAAACCAGUUUACCUGCACUGCUUCCUUUUCCUUCCUGAAAAAAGAACCUGGCCAGCCUCAUGGUGGAGGCCCUAUCCUUCCAGUUUGGAUCAAGUAAAUGACCAAUAGUCAUCAGCAGCUCCAGUUGUGGCAAAGAAAUAGGUCGUCAAACCUUAACAGCCGAACAGCUGAAAUUACAGAUGGUCCUUCCUCUGGGUUGGGUCGUAGUGGCAGUGGGUAGUCCAGACUGCCCGUCUCUCCAGCAAUGCUUUCCAGUUCCUCCUGGGGGACCCCAAGGCAUUCCAUGGCCAGAUGAGAUGUGCAGUCUCUGCUGUGUAUUCUGAGCCCUCCCUACCAGUUGGACAUGCUUUAUAACCCUGCGAUAGAAGGUACUAAGGAAGCAUCACGAUCAGAUGCCCGACCCACCUAAACUGACUCCUUUUGACAAGGACAACCAGGGGCUCUUCUAGUGACUAAUGCUGAACUAUCCUAAAGAAGUUUUACCUGAAAAUAUCCUACUUAUUCUGUUUAUUUUAUCCUAGAAUAAGUUGCAGCUUUAAUACCAGUUCAAGCCGGCCUGAUUCUGUGUGUAUCAGUGUAUACCCAUAAUCUCCUUACUGAGUGGCCUCUGGGAUGUGUUCAAAUGUUUGCCAGCUUGAUAUCUUCAGCAGAGGGCAGAGGUUGAAGAAAAUGGCUCUUAACUCCAUGAUGUCUUUACAUAACACCAUAAAGCCGGUCUCAUGUGAAUAGAAGACUUUGCAGGGCGAAUUCGGCUGGCUGGAGGAUUAGAAAAGCAGUUUUCUCUGCCUCUUCGUUUCCAUCUUCCUCCUUUUUCCUCCCUCUUUUAUUCCUCUCCAGGAGAUUUCCUCUCCUCAUGCUUAUUCUGUCAGUUAUCCUCCUCCUCUUUCAUCCCUUGUUCUAUCCUGUGUUUCUUUCUCUAUCUGUAGGCUUUCGUAUGUAAAAACCCAAAUUGCUGGAUUAGGCCAAAGUCACCUUGCCCCCACACUUCAGCUCCCAGACAAAGGACGCAUGCAAACACACAAAGACACACAUGCACAGUCUUCUAUCUAAUCUCAGGACUCUCUGUAACACCUACAUCUCUCCCUGAACCACACACACUUGUAGAGACUGAAGGAGGCUGAGUGAGUUCAAUAUGACCCUGAUGGAGGGAAGGGAAAUUACAAAGCUUUGGGAAAAAAGAGCAAAGAAGAUUUCAUGGUGUGCUCAUUUCUCAAACUGUAGGUGAAGGCAUUUCUGCAGAUAUCUUUCUUUUGGGGACAGGUGGAGAUAAACCUGGGCAGGGUGAUGUAAUAAUAAAGCAGAUAGGAUUUAUAAAGAGGUGGGGAGGGAUUUCACAAUGUCAGUGACACAUUGGUGUGAUGUCUAUAUGCCAGUGAGGCAAUUUCACCAACUGUUGUUUGUUUUCAUUAGAUAUUUUUCUUUUAGAGCUCCAGGCAUAUCUCUGGUUGGGGCAGUCUUUUCAACCGACUCUGUGAAGAGUUUCAGGGUUUUUUAUGGCUCACAGAUUUCACCCAGAGUAGGCAAACUACCAUUAACAGCAGGCAGACAUACUGAAAAUGUGUGCAUAUUAAAUGUAUAUCAACCAGGUGACCAGAGACAUGACUCUGGACAGAAAAAGCAGAGAGAUGUCCAAGGUUGUCCUGGUUUCUUUGCUGUGUUUGAUAUGUUGGAGGAAAGAGUGAGAUAACUUUGGUGUUGUCCUUGAAGGUGCUAUAUGUGAGUUUUUGCUUUCACUACAUAGCCAACAUUAGCAUUAGCAGCUGUUUACUUACCAGUCUAGAGGUGUGUCAAGCAUCAAACUGUUAACUCUUGAUUUGCUUGGAUUUCUAGCACUUUUCUUCUGUUGAAGUUAGCACGCUAACCAGCUAGCCCAGGUCACCCAUCCCAUCUCAUAAUAUCAUUUUGUAAUAGUGAGUCACUGUAGCGUCCAGUCUGCACUAGAGGACAUAUUCCAACCUCUUGUCUUGUAAAUGCAAUGAUAGCUGAAUCUCUUGGUAUGUAAACAGCUGUUAAUACUAACAUUGGCUAUGUAGCCAUAGCAAAAAUUGUACCAAUAGCACCUUCAAUAACACUUUGUUUUAAUUGAGUUAAGGAGACUGACCCAAAUGGUGGAUGCAGCUAGUCUGCAAAAAUUAAUUUUAGGAGGUGAGGAAAAAAGAGGAGACAAAGUGAAAUAGUUGUGUUUGAGUGAAUAGAUUCUAUUUAGUUGUGUUCUCUUUUAUUCUGGUUUCCACCUCAACACAAAAUCAUCCACCGUCCUCUUUUCACCUGAGUUGUUAAACAGAUUAGCGGCCCAUCCCGAAAACGCCACCGCACCAAUCCCAUCAGCCCCGACUUCCUGUGCCUGCCGCACUUUUCAUCCCGUCUGUCUGUGCCUGGACUCUGCUCAGUGUUUGAUAACAGUGCUAAAAAAGAUGAGGUGGAGAGGAAGGGGGGGGAGUAUUUUCAUCAGAUGAAUGCUGUUUCAAUUUUUCAUUUCCACAGGGAGAGAGGACACACACACCGAUGAAGUAUGGAGUUAUGGCAUGGAGAUUGAGUGUGUGGAAAGAGAGAGAAGGGAAGGAAAAGAGAGACUGAGAUAUUAAAUGAAGUCAAACAGACGGAUACGAAAACACAGAAAGAGGCAAAUUAAGUUCAACUAAAAAUUCUUGGAGGCAGAAAUAAUCUCAUUGGCUGUGUUACCCAAGUGGCUGCUGAGAGCUAAAGCCUCAAAGAGCAAUUUUUAGGGUUGGCAGCUUCAGUGAAUAAUGUGGGAAUGCAACAUUAAAAAAAGACUUCUUAGAGAAUAUAUUUUUUAACAGUUAUACUUUCUGUGUAAGGCAGUUAGCCAUGUUUAAAGCACACAAGCUUUCUGCAGCACUGGGGCUGUUGUGUGACCAGAGAAGGUCACUGGUGGUUUGAAAAUGCAUUCAUUCACACUCAUUUAUUGAAAAUAAAAAUAAACCAUGUCUCUCUU